CUGCCUGCAGGACUCGUGCUCGUUCCGCCCUAGCAGCACGUAAAUAUUGGAGUGUCAAAGAAACCUUCAACCCCAAUAUUAUUGUGCUGCUUCAGCGUGGCAGAGACUCAGCAACUGGGGCUGC
rnacentral:precursor_RNA from 12 species